ACAAGUACCGUGAGGGAAAGAUGAAAAGCACUUUGGAAAGAGAGUUAAAAGUACGUGAAAUUGUCGAAAGGGAAGCACUUGAAGUCAGCCAUGCUGCUUGAGACU
rnacentral:rRNA from 1 species